UACGUAGGGGGCAAGCGUUGUCCGGAUUUAUUGGGCGUAAAACGCUCGUAGGUGGCUACGUCAAGUCGGACGUGAAAUCUCCCGGCUUAACCUGGGAACUGCGUCUGAUACUGGGAGGCUUGAGUAUGGGAGAGGGAUGUAGAAUUCCAGGUGUAGCGGUGAAAUGCGUAGAUAUCUGGAGGAAUACCGGUGGCGAAGGCGGCAUCCUGGACCAUAACUGACGCUGAGGCGCGAAAGCUAGGGGAGCAAACGGG
rnacentral:rRNA from 1 species